ensembl:lncRNA
GUUUCGCUACGUGCAUCCAUUUGAUUGGUUUACAUUUUCUUUGGGACAACCAUACAAAUACACACACUCAUAGAGAGACAGACUUAAGGGACAGGCCUACACACUCUGAUUCUGAGACACAGAAAUACGUCGGUUUUUAACCUGCUCUUUGGAUUCAACCUGCUCUUUGGAUUGACUUCCAAUAUAUAUUUGCUGAAGUUUCUACAUUUGUUUAACAUUUGUUGGGCCCGCUGAACGGAUGUCCGUACACGAUUCUGUCUUUGGCCUUGAUCAGGAAGACAUGGCACAAUCUGAUGCUGGAGAAGGGACAUCUGAUCUGCAAUCCACACCUCUCCUCUCUCCGGAGCUACCUGCAGGUCAAGCAACAACCAGUACCACAUCCAGCUCUCCAGCUUCCUCCAGUGAAGCACAGCCUGCAGCAGUAUUUUUCCGCCUCCUCAUUGGCCUGGUGUCCACCGUCCUGGGAGGUGUGCUGACAGGGCAGAUGAACAGCAGGAGAUGGAUAGAAGGAGUAACCAACAGUAUAUUGUGUUUGUGAUCAUGUGUGGAGCUCAGGCUUGACGAGGAAGGCUGUCAGGCAGCUAACUCUCACGGACGUAGUGACUGUCGGGCCUGAAACCUUUUGCCUUGGCCCUUGUAUGCUCUGUGACUGAUGCAUCUAAACGUACCCCAUUUGAGCUGUAGUAGUUCAUUUGCCCCUGGUUGAUGCUUGAGGCUGAUCAGCAGGUUAAUGUCGUUUGGACCUCCACCCUAAAUGUAAAGGUACCGCCGCACUCGUACCCCUUGGUUCUCUGUUAAUGUUCCUCCAUCGGGUUGGGUUAUAUGUACUAGAAAAGGCUUGUGGCCGUUUGCUUGUGAGUGAUCCACUCUUCAUGUGUAGCUUUGCAUUAAAAAAUAAAUCUAAAUGGAGUCUGUGCUUAUGUUGUCUCCUUUGUUUCUUUUUUCGCUUAGCUUUUUUCCAAGCACACACUCACACACACACCUUUAAAUAAUAGCUUGUCG